rnacentral:sRNA from 1 species
GGCCGCCGCUGGCGCUCAAGCAUGGCGGCGGCGGCGUUGGGCAGCUCCUCAGGCUCGGAGUCCCCGGCCGUGGCCGAGCUCUGCCAGAACACCCCGGAGACCUUUCUGGAGGCCUCCAAGCUGCUGCUCACCUAUGCUGACAACAUCCUCAGGUGCAGGGCAACGGGGUCGGACGGCGGCUACCGGGGUGGGUGGGCCGCGGCGCCUUGUUCGGCCAGGGACUGGGGUGUCCGGCCUGAGCUUCAGAGGGCAGCGACGCCCGGACAGACCGGGACCUGGAGCUGGUUCUGCUCCUAACGUCCGAGCCCGCCGGCCAGGGGCCUCGGGACCCGGCCAAGUCCCACCCCCGCUCGAGAAAAGGAAGUUUCUUUGCAGUUGUGACUUGGCACCUGCAGUCAGGGUGCUGCGGGUGAACUGGAGUCCCGGAAGCGGGGCCGGGCGGAGGAGAGGUAGGAAGGCGUGCUGCAGACACUGCCGCUCUUCUCGUCGUUUAACGGCCUCAGAUAUCAGGACACAACGAAACCCUAAUGAUGAAAAAUAUAGAUCUAUCCGGAUUGGAAAUACAGC